rnacentral:rRNA from 1 species
CCUACGGGUGGCAGCAGUGGGGAAUAUUGGGCAAUGGACGCAAGUCUGACCCAGCAACGCCGCGUGAAGGAAGAAGGCCUUCGGGUUGUAAACUUCUUUUAAGGGGGAAGAGGAGAAGACGGUACCCCUUGAAUAAGCCACGGCUAACUACGGGCCAGCAGCCGCGGUCAUACGGAGGUGGCACGCGUUGUCCGAAUGUACUGGGGGUAAAGGGCGUGCAGCCGGGCCGACAAGACAGAUGUGAAAUCCGCGGGCUUAACCCGCGAACUGCAUUUGAAACUAUAGGGCUUGAGUGCCGGAGAGGUAAGCGGAAUUCCUGGUGUAGCGGUGAAAUGCGUAGAUAUAAGGAAGAACACCAGUGGCGAAGGCGGAUUACUGGACGGUAACUGACGGUGAGGCGCGAAAGCGUGGGGAGCAAACAGGAUUAGAUACCCGAGUAGUC